AUUGAACGCUGGCGGCAUGCCUUACACAUGCAAGUCGAACGGUAACAGGUCUUCGGAUGCUGACGAGUGGCGAACGGGUGAGUAAUACAUCGGAACGUGCCUAGUAGUGGGGGAUAACUACUCGAAAGAGUGGCUAAUACCGCAUGAGAUCUACGGAUGAAAGCAGGGGAUCGCAAGACCUUGUGCUACUAGAGCGGCCGAUGGCAGAUUAGGUAGUUGGUGGGAUAAAAGCUUACCAAGCCGACGAUCUGUAGCUGGUCUGAGAGGACGAUCAGCCACACUGGGACUGAGACACGGCCCAGACUCCUACGGGAGGCAGCAGUGGGGAAUUUUGGACAAUGGGCGAAAGCCUGAUCCAGCAAUGCCGCGUGCAGGAUGAAGGCCUUCGGGUUGUAAACUGCUUUUGUACGGAACGAAAAGCUCUGGGUUAAUACCCUGGGUCAUGACGGUACCGUAAGAAUAAGCACCGGCUAACUACGUGCCAGCCGCCGCAGUAAAAC
rnacentral:rRNA from 1 species